AUAUGGCGUUGGACUAUGAGGUUGUUAUUUGAAUAUCUGUCGGUAUUAGAAACAGUUGGAAGCAGAUUUAAGACCAAAGGUGUGAAAUUUGUUUUGAGACGAUGGCACAUUUAUCUACUACUUUAUUCCUGUUUGCAACUUGUCUGGUUCUACUUCUGGUGACGUUACCAGCAGCUCGUACUGAAGAUGACGAUAUGAUACCUGAAGAACAGGCUUUCUGGGAUCAACUAUUCCGAACCCCGAAUAAAAGACAGCUUUGUCGUCCUGGUUUCACCUUUAACCCCGUUAUUAGGAACUGUACACCUUCACUUGGUAUUUUACGGGGGCGUGGAAGACGAUUUUAAACAGACUAAGCAAACAUUCUUCAACCAAACAGCGGAUACUACCAUUAAAUUGAAUUCUCGUUCCCAUUAGAACGAUCUCUCGUUUUAUUUCACACAUUUCAGUUAUUUACGUAUUUUCAUGAUCAACCCAAUUUCUGAUUCAAAUAAUACGACAGUACCUAAAAUCAAAUUAAAAUGAAACCUAUUUCAAAUAUCGAUAUUUUUUAUUCGGUUAGAAUGCAGAUGUUUCUUCUUAUUAUUUUAUAUACACGUGUUUUUUAAAUUAUAAAAUGUAAAUCAACCAAUGGUUCUAGAAAUAAAAAAACCGUUUAACCA